CGCUACGCAAACCGAAUCACGCGCGCGUACGUAUAACCCACCCCAACCCACCAGCACACCGCCUCCUUGUGUGUGCACAUACACGCACACAGAGACAGACAGCCAGGCAGACGCGCACCUCGUGAGCAAAAAAAAAACGAAGAGAGGAGGGCGCACUCUGCCAUCCUUGGCACCUGUCGCCGACCCCAACGGCACCGUUGUGGUGGUCGUCGUAGUCAUCGCUGUUGCCUUUCAACUGGAAAGGCUCCUGGAGUGCUUUCGUCCAUCACAGGCAGGCACGAAACACACACGAGCACACACGUGCGUCUACGUGUGUGCUCGUGCACGUGUACAUAGACGCAUGCCUUUGCCCUGUCUGUACUUUGUGUGUGUAUGUGUGUGCUCGAUAUCUUCGCGUUGGUGUGCGUGUGUUUGUGUUUGUGGACGGCAGCCCCUUGCUCCUGCGGAAGAGGACGGUUACAGAUCGCUAUCACUGUCACCGCCACCCACUCACGGCUCCGCCCCCCCCCUUCCCUCAUCAACAUCGUUGCUUUUCUCGUUCUUAAUUGUUUUGUCGCCACUCAGUUGGCCUCCCUCUGUGUGUGCGUGUGUCGGUUAGGACGUCCGCGUGCGGAGCUGUUCGACUGCCUGUCGCCGCCACGCCUCUUCAUCACACUCGCCCCCCCCCUCCUUCCUCCCCCGUUUCCGCGAAGCGCCGCCAUCAAAAUGGGGAAUGCCGCGUCGAGCCCACGCCGGGCUCCUGCCGCGUCGUCGUCGCCUGCCCGCGCCUCCUCCACAGCACCGGCGACGGAGCCACGACCGAGGAAGAUGCUCGUCAACGCCGCCCCACGAGCGUCCGCCAGCAACUUCCGCUCGCCUGCCGCCAUCACAGCGGCCUCUGUGAACCGCCAGGCGCGCUCGCAGAGCCCGGAGGCGAAGUCUGCAUCGCUGCAGCAGGCCACGCUGCAGCGCCGUCAGCGCAUCCCGGGAAUGAAUGGCAGCGGCAGUGCCGGUGGCACGAGUGUUCGUGGGGACGUUGGGAAUGAAACGGACGUCCUCCUGGCCUUCACCCGCAACGCCGACCCCAUCUCGCUGCGCGUCUUGGAGCUGAUCCAGCAGGCUGACGCCGUGCCGCAGGACAGCCCGGGCGAGAAGCUGCGGCUGCUCCAGGAGUGUUACCCCCUCCUGGUGCGCGUGCCCAACGACUGCUUCGAUCAGCUGGCCGUCACGGUGUACCAGAAGGAAGGCGAUGUCUACCACCAGCAGGGGGACAUCGAGAACGCCAAGAACACCUACAGCCGCGCUAUCACGCUGGCAGAGAAGCGCGUUGCACGGCAGGACGCCGACAUGUACAUGGUGCUGAAGCGCUACGUCUUGGCUAUGGUGGGGAUGGCGCGCAUCUGGUACGACCACGAGCGCGAUCACCAAGGCUUCACCUUCGUUGACCACAAGCACCCCAAGGUACAGGCCGUCGACGGCGGCGAUGCCGUGCACGACGCAAACUCGUCCAUGAGCUCGCUCGAGAGCAGCCUGAUGUCUGACGGAGGUAGCGUCUUCAGCCUCAACGAAGCCAUCUUGAAAUCCAUGGCGCCACGCCCGCCGCGGCGGCAGACUGGCCCGCUCUUCCAGCGCGUGAAGAUGCGAGCGCCGCAUGUGAUGCAGAGCUCGCAGUUGAACCGUGAGGACGAGUUUGUGCUGCACAGCCGCAUGACGCGCGAGCUGGUCGCCUCGCCGUGCGAGCUGCUGCUUCUGCGGUGCUGCGAGGUGGUCCAGAUUGGCCACAACUCGCAAUCGGAGCUGCUCAUCCCAGCCCAGAUAGAGCUGGCUCAGAUUUACGAGGAUCUCGCGCUCUACAGCCGCGCACUGCUGCUCGUGCGGCGCUGCGUGGGCAUCCUGUGCAGCGUGUACGACUACGACCACCCGUGGGUGAUUCAUCUGAUGCACCGCGCCGACAGGCUAGAGGGGCGGCUGGAGGAGCAGAUGCGUAAUAACAUGGCCACCAAGAUCCAGGCUACGUGGAAGAUGCACCGAGCGAUGCAGCAGCUGGAGUACACGCUGGGGCAUCCGGUGCGGCGGCACCAGCGCAUUCCGCGCAAGUACCGCGCGAUUCCGGGCCUCGACUUCCUCCACGAGUACGUCGGCGACAUGCCCGCAGAUGAGCUGCUUGGCGACGACGCCGAUGACGGGGUGUACGGUGGUCCCGGAGGCGACCAUGGGCACUAUAGGCAGCAGGCCGCCGAGCCGGAGCAGUGGACGGAGGUGCCGCCAUCGGCGCCUGUGCAGGCGAGUGGCCGGCACAGCGCCGACCCGCGCCACCCUUCUGGCACGCCGGGCGCACGCCAGGAACGCAAAUCGCCCUACAACGCCACCGCGCUCGUCCGCUACGCACCGAACGAGCACGCGGAACGCGGUGACACGUUCACGACGGUGGUGCCUAACGCGACCGUCGUGGGCACUACCCAAGAUACCCAGACAGACACGGACGUGCAUCACACCGAGUACGGGGAUGUGCUGACGGUGCGUACGACAACGGUCACCAAGACCAUCACAGAGGGCCUCGUCGACAGCGCAGGUGACGACACAGACGAGGAGCCCUCCGAGGAUGAAGAGCAGCCGGCUGCUCCAGUGCAUGUGGGAGCGCCACCACCGCAGCAACAGCAGAAGCAACCACGCAACCCCACCCACCCUACACACCCUCUACAGCCAGCACCGGCGCCGUACCCGUCCGAUGAUGACGCGGACGAGUACGACGAAGAGCGAGAGUGCUCGUGGGCAGAGCGCACACCUACGGAGCUACAGCAGCACCAGCAGCAGCCUCCGCCGCAAGCGCCGCCACCGCCGAUGCGGCGAGAGGAACAGACACAGGCCCAGCCGUGCGGUCACGUGGUAACGACUCAGACGCCCCGCCCACCUCCGCGCGCCAAUAAGCAGACGGAGGCUGCGUGGCCGCUGAGGCGCGAGGAAGAGGAAGAACCGCCGCGGACCUCUCGACAGGCCGCGACGACAUCGCCACACUCACAGCGGCACGAAACAGCGACGCAGUGCAAUCCUGACAGAGGUGCCCAUCGCGCGCCUGCUCAUCAGCCACCGCCGCCGGCACCGACUCCGCAGCGGCAGCCUCUGGUGCAGUCUCCGCUCCCGCCGAGCUGGCGUCACCGCGCUUCGGUGUCCAGACCCGCGGGAGCCUCAGAGGCCGACAGUGCCCUCGACCCCACCGACGACACCCCCUCGAUCGUCGCGCGUGCCCCCGAGUCCCGUGAGAACCCACUGCCGGAGCGGCCGCCGCCAAAGGCAGAGAGGACUCGGGUGCACCUGCACAACUCCCGCGAGGCCGAAAACGCCUUCGACGAUGGACCGAGUCGCUCGGCCCAGCGUGGUGCUCCGCCGCAGCAGCGGCACACGCAUGCGGCACCACCAGCGCACCGCAGCGGUGCCGCAUUGGAGGCGCCGCUAGAUAACUACGAGGACGGCAACGCGCCGUACCAGGAGGAGGAGGCACGAAGCGAGGUCAUCGCUGGCAGCGAUGCUCAUCCAUCCUCGUCGGCGCCGUCGAGGCCAUAUGUUCCGGAUGUGCGCCACAACUCGCGUCGGGAGCUGUUCCGUGACUUGGUAGAGCCGAAUACAGCGUUCCAGGCGGAGUGGAACGGGUACCCGGCCUUCCUGCCGCUACUCGGUCACCGCCGCAGUAGUGGGCGAAGCAGCCAGAGCUCCUCAAUGCCGCGGACGAGCUCUGAGAGCGGGCAACUCGUGCCGCACGCGCUCGGCCACAGCGGUAGCCACCCAUCGAAGCAGCAGAAGGCGCCGAUGCAGCUGUGCGACCGGCGACAUCAGCGCGGCUCCGACGGCCAGGGUCAGCAGUCUGGCACGCCGAUGUAUCUCACAGCACCGGCCAACGUGUAUCCUCUAACGCUCCCGCAGGCGGCGCAGCAGCCGCGGACAGUGAAGACGACUCGUGACUACAAGAUCAUCAAGACGCGGCGCGUGCGCACCUAUACACGGGAGCCGGUCAGCAACAUCAUGGACAGCGAGAACACGAGCAGCCGCAGUGGCAGUGCGAGCAUUGAUGAAAGCAUGAGCAGCGCGCGCUGGGAGGCGGACUCCGCCUCGGUCAGCGGCAGCACCCACGUCGAGUACAUGGAAGAGAAAGACGAACAGGUGGACGCAGCGAGCGUCAACUCCAAACUCAGCAACGCCUCCGCUCCGCGCCAGCAGCAGCGGCAGCGGCAGCCCUCAGUGAAGGCACCGGCAGGCAACGUGAAAGUGCCCCAUCGCCCACACAAGCCACGGAUGCCCACCCCUCCUACGAAGUCACUUGCGAAGGCGACAGGGGACGGCAACGGCAGCAGCGGUGCCGCUGCCUGCCGACCAUCGACGCUGCCAACGAAAGCAGAGACGGUACGAGUGGUUUCUGAGAAGGGCUCUGAAGACAGGGAUAGUGAUGUGCUGCCCAACUACAGUAGUAGUGCCACCACGGUCACGCGACAUGUCAAGUCAGACCACCACGGCGCAACGACGCGCACGACGCGUCGCUUCAGCACCUCCACCAACUCGUAGCUGACAAGCAACGGUGACAGUGUGGUGCUUGGAGGGAGGGGGGUGCUGGGGUGGAUGGGCGGGUAUGCCGGAAGCAGUUUUAGAGGCACUGUUGCCGCUCGGUAGCUCUGCGUACGCGGGCGUGUUUCGCAUGGCGCGCUUGCAUGUUUUUAUUUUGCUCGCUCUUGUUCCCUUCAGCUCUUUUCGUCUCUGCGCACCUGUUGUUGUUGUUCAUGUGUGCACCUGUAUCUGUAUAUGUAUCUGCAGUCAAGGGAUAUCAUGCGCCCUCAUCAUUGUCAUCGCGGUGUGCGCGCAUGCGCGCAUGCGUGUGCUUGGGUGUCUGUGUGCGUUGCUACCGCGGCACACAUUUUUAUUUCGCGCUCGCGCGCUCAUUCUUUGAUUCGCUUUUCGUAGAUGUGCCAAAACGCGACGCUGCGGAUCGGCGGGUGGUGCUCCGUCCGUGUGGACUUGCGCCGGCGCUCACGCAUCGCAUCCCUUUCUCCCCUCCCCUCCCCUCCCCCCCCCACUCUCUCCCUCUGUCACGCCUUCCAUCACACGCACAUAUAAUCAUCACUAUCACCGCCACCAAGACCUCGACAGCCUCCGUCGUGCGCCCCAACGCUCUGAUAGUGGCGAUGGCUGUGGUGAUGGGCUCCUAUGCGGGGCGGUGCUAAGUGAAGUCUCGCUUGCUGCGUUUUGUUUUGUUUUGGGGAGGGGGAGCAGGGAAUGGAGGGGUGACUGUGGAGGCAUUCGCCGUGCUUCCGCUGCGCGCUUCCCAUUGCUUUCUCGGGUUGCCCUCUUCCUCUGUAUAAGUCUGUGUGUGUGUGUGUGUGUUUAUGUGUAUGUGCAUCCGCUGUGCGUGCAGGCGCACGAACCACAGAAGCCGGCGCCAACGAAGGCAUGACGAGGUCACGAAGCAAGCGGGGGUAGGAGAAGAAGAGCUGCACGGGUCGACACGGCGACGGCGCCAUUCUCGCUUCACUGUCGUGGCUGCCUUUCUUUUCUGGAUCGUCUAGAUCGCCUUGUACUCAACGUAGAGCGGUGCGCCGCGCGCUCAGUCAUUGGAUGCGUUGCACCACCAAGCACUAAACCACCACCACCCUCUUCCUCGUCCUCCCACAAGAAAAGCACGAGGGGCAACGGCACGUGCGAGAGCGAUGCCGGUGAGGAGCAGCAUCCACCGCAUCCAUGAGGCGAUCACCGUGCGAGCAUAAAGAGGGAUGUGGAGGGAGGGGGAGGUAGGAAGGGCCCAGACGGGUCGGCGUCUGCCUCUGUGCACGUGUGUGUAGGACAGAGCAGCGCCGAUCGGAAAACGUGGAGGCGAUGAGCACCUCAGCGGCGUGUGCAGGUGCAUUCACGGUCAGCUCCCCCCCCUCACGGUGGCUCGUGCAGAAGGCGGGGAGAGUCUACGCUCGGCACAGCUGGCGAAAAGAGAGAACGUGAUAGAGAGCGAGAGGGAGGCUCAUCUGCACGCCCCAAGCCGCUCCGCAUCCUCGACCUCCGCCAUUCUCAUCUUUCCCUUCGCUCCUUCACUACCAACACCACCACCAUUAUGGCUCUCCCACCUCUCCUCCGUGCCAGAGAGUCGUCGUCUGUUUGCCUGCCGCACACACGCACGCACCGUGUUGUUGCGGCUGUUCGCGUCGAUGUCGCUUCUCCACGCCUCUCGUGGUGCUUUUUUGUCGCUGACUCCUCUCGCACACCCCCUCUUCUACACCUCUGUUUUCGUUGCCGCCGUGGCCAUCGCCGUGAGCGGCAG
rnacentral:misc_RNA from 1 species